CUGAUGCAGCGACGCCGCGUGAGGGACGACGGCCUUCGGGUUGUAAACCUCUUUCGACAGGGACGAAGCGAAAGUGACGGUACCUGUAUAAGAAGCACCGGCCAACUACGUGCCAGCAGCCGCGGUAAUACGUAGGGUGCGAGCGUUGUCCGGAAUUACUGGGCGUAAAGAGCUUGUAGGCGGUUCGUCGCGUCGAUCGUGAAAACUUGCAGCUCAACUGCGAGCUUGCGGUCGAUACGGGCGGACUAGAGUACUUCAGGGGAGACUGGAAUUCCUGGUGUAGCGGUGAAAUGCGCAGAUAUCAGGAGGAACACCGGUGGCGAAGGCGGGUCUCUGGGAAGUAACUGACGCUGAGAAGCGAAAGCGUGGGUAGCGAACAGGAUUAGAUACCCUGGUAGUCCACGCCGUAAACGGUGGGUACUAGGUGUGGGUUUCCUUCCACGGGAUCCGUGCCGUAGCUAACGCAUUAAGUACCCCGCCUGGGGAGUACGGCCGCAAGGCUAAAACUCAAAGGAAUUGACGGGGGCCCGCACAAGCGGCGGAGCAUGUGGAUUAAUUCGAUGCAACGCGAAGAACCUUACCUGGGUUUGACAUACACCGGACAGCCGUAGAGAUACGGCCCCCCUUGUGGUCGGUG
rnacentral:rRNA from 2 species